AACGCGAAGAACCUUACCUGGGCUCGAACGGCUCACGAACGUCCUUGGAAACAGGGAUUUCCCGCAAGGGACGGGAGUCGAGGUGCUGCAUGGCUGUCGUCAGCUCGUGUCGUGAGAUGUUGGGUUAAGUCCCGCAACGAGCGCAACCCUUGUCCUGUGUUGCCAUCAUUCAGUUGGGAACUCGCAGGAGACCGCCAGCGAUAAGCUGGAGGAAGGUGGGGAUGACGUCAAGUCCUCAUGGCCUUUAUGUCCAGGGCUACACACGUGUUACAAUGCGCGGCACAGACUGUUGCGAACCCGCGAGGGGGAGCUAAUCGGAAAAAACCGCGCUCAGUUCGGAUUGCAGUCUGCAACUCGACUGCAUGAAGCUGGAAUCGCUAGUAAUGGCGUAUCAGAUCGACGCCGUGAAUACGUUCCCGGGCCUUGUACCACCGACGCGUA
rnacentral:rRNA from 1 species